CAAUAGCGUAUAUUAAAGUUGUUGCGGUAAAAAAGCUCGUAGUUGGAUUUCUGUUGAGAGCGACCGGUCCAUACCAUGUAUGCGUAUCUGGCUUGCUCUCGGCAUCCUCUCGAUAGACGUUACUGCGCUUGAUUGCGUGGUGCGGAUCUCGGGACUCUUACUUUGAGGAAAUUAGAGUGUUCACGGCAGGCUUUCGCCAGAAUACAUUAGCAUGGAAUAAUACUAUAGGAUCUUGGUUCUAUUUUGUUGGUUUCUAGAAUUGAGAUAAUGAUUAAUAGGGACAAUUGGGGGCAUUCGUAUCAACACGUCAGAGGUGGAAUUCUUGGAUUGUGUUGCGACGAACUACUGCGAAAGCAUUUGCCAAGGAUGUUUUCAUUGA
rnacentral:rRNA from 1 species